ACAUUCUAAUUAAACACCUUUCACACCUAGUAAAAGUCUCCUUAAUAACUCCCGCUUUUAAUCUGUCAAACCAUUCAUUUUUGUGUUCUUCUCUUCGCGCGCUAUUUUUUGGGGGGUUUCUCCUUCAUGUGGUCUUAAUCUCGCCUUCUGGUAAAAUUUGAGGGUCGUGUUGCGAUUUUUAGAGUUCGGAAAAUUAGGGAAAUCAAGAAUAUCUUGUUCGAUUUUAGGGUUCGAAAAAUUGGAGAAAUCAAGAAUCUUAUACUGAGUAGUCUCUUGGAAUCCAUGGAACUUAAGCCCGAAAUUCUUGACGAUUUCAUUCGCCAAUGCUGCCGGUGAUGGGGUAAGGAACUUCUUUGGGAAACCUCAGUUGUUGCAAAUCUUUAAUAAGCUCGAUGAAGAUGGGUGCAUCAUUGAGCAAUCGACAUCUGCUGAUGUAGCUGCCGAGGAUACUAUGAUUUUGCUGAUUUCUGACAAUUUCCCCGAUCAUUUAAUCUAUGGCGAGGAAAAUAGAGAUAAUGCUGAUUAUGUCUGGGUUCUCGACUCGAUUGACGGGACUACCAGCUUCAAAAACGAUUUUGGGAAUUAUUGACCAGCCAAUACUACGCAGAAGAUGGGUUGGAGUGCAGGGAAGGAAAACUACGAUGGAUGGUGUGCCUGUGCAGACCCGUCCUUGUGAGCAUCUGUCGUGAGCAACUCUGAGUAUCCAUCUGCGUUAUCACAACUCCUUCCAUUUUUUUAUAUGAUUAAAAUUAUUUAUUAGAACUUAAUUAAAAGCACCAAACGAUGUUCUGUAGAGGAAACAACUCUUUUUCAAAACUAUUAUUCUGAUCAGCUUGUUUCCAGUUUGAUAUCUUGUGGCAUUUUGUCUAACACUUGCUUUAUUGUGAAUCACUCCAUGCCUCCAUGACUUGUUUGACCAUGACUUUAUCAUAGCAAAGCUUUAAUUGCCUGUAGAGUGUAGAGUGCAUUUGCAGAAUACAAUUUGGUUAAAAAAAUUAGUUUGACAAUGAGAAUUGACAAACCAAUGUAAUUCAAAUAUUUUAGUGAUGAUGGAAUGGAUGGACGGAUAGAUUGUGGAAUUAUGAGAUAGCAUGUUUUAAUUGAUUACUCUAUGGAGCUUUUAUCAUAUUUAUAUUCUGCUACAUGGUAUGAUUUAUUUUCUUUGAUUUAUGUUCUUUUUAUCUGUCUUUUUUUCUUUUUUGCAUUAUCAAUCAUCAUCAGCCACAUGCUUUAAGCUGUAGAGCCAUAUUAACAUCCUGUGUGAUUCUUGCGAAACUUGUUGGCUAUGAGAGAGUACCAUUUUACUGUUGAUUUCAUCAUGAGCAACCAAUUUUGCAGCUGAGCCGACCUUGUUGUAAGUGAAGAUGGAAAGUUGAGCUGUGGAUACUCAAGUUUCCGGGGGAAGAGAGCUAGCAUGGAAGAUUUUUUUGAUGUCAAAAUGUCCAAAAUGAAUGGGAAGACUGUCUGCCUCUUUGGAAUAUUUGAUGGUCAUGGUGGUUCUCGUGCAGCGGAAUAUCUGAAGCAACGUCUAUUUGAAAAUCUCCUGAAACAUCCACAAUUUAUGGGGGACACAAAAGUGGCUAGAACAUACAAUUGUCUGUUUUAUUUGGCUUCUGCAUCUUUUAGAUUUUGAGAAGGCACCUUUGCUGAUUUCAGUUGUGUUUUUUUUAUUGGUUGUGCUGGUUGAUUUGGAUGUGAUUGUUUAAUACCUUUUGCCAUUGUGUGAUAUAAUGUGUAACAUAUAAUUUUUGA